CCGCCGCCACCGCCCGGCCCUCCCCUGGUCGCGGCUCACCCACGCCCCGAGCGGCCGGCUGGGCGCGGUCCCGGCCCGCGGGAGAAGCCCCGGGGCAGGGUGUGACGCCCUCGGGGCCCUUGGUGCCUGGCUUAGUCACUUUGUCCUCCCUCAAGGACUCGCUGACUCUUCCUGCAGGUCUUGGUUCCUUCCUCCCUUCAAAGCGUGCGCUUCACCUGCCUCUGCAGAAACCGAGGGGAGCCGAUGCCACGCCAUCCUGAAAACCCCAAACCUGUCCUGGCAGCCGUGACCUGUGUGUGCUUUUAAAACAGCAUCUGUUUGAGACCUGAGACUGCCUGUUCCCAGUGAAGGAAGCGGGCUGAUAAAGCUUAUCGCCUUGGCCCGUGCUGUUCCAUCUCUCCUGCAUUAGUCUGAGCCCUGGUGCCACGGGAGAAGGCUGCAGAGAUAGCACAGCGCCAGGCCCCUUCUGGGCAGGAUGCUGCGGGGAGGACACAGGCCUGCUCUGCCGGCAGCUCACAGCUCGGGCUCCCCAGCUGAUACAAACACGCACCAUGAAUGCAUAAACCCAAACCCACCCAUGGAAAAACCUAAGGUGGGGUUUUCUUUUUAUCCCCUUUCCAGCUGGGAAAUAUGGGGAUGCAUCACCAGGAGGUAAGGAGAGCAGAACUGUGAAAACUGAAAUGACUCAGAAUGAAAGCAAGCAGUCUCCUAGUUGAAGAUGUGUGCCUUUUUAAAAAACACAUGAUAAGGAAAAUGUUAAAAAUAUACCAAGUUCCUGACUAUACUUAAGACUGCAAGGGCUGUAAGUUCAGCGGACCCCUUCAAAGAUGUGUCCCUACUUGCUUGAGCUGUGCUGGUUUUGUGGACAUGCUCCCAACACGUGUUCUCGGUCUGCACUGUGCAAUUGCACCUGCUCUCACCCUACUGCUUGGACAUAGUCCUUUGCUACUCUCAGAUAAGGAGAGGUAUUUACUGAAAUGCUUAGCAUAACAGCUGGGGAAGAAGAGUGAUCAUCACAUGAAAUUAUGAGGUGGCAGGUUCAGAAGAAGGUACCUCUUCACACAAAACAUCUUGGAAGUUACUGCUACAGGAGUCAGGAAGCAGCUUAAAGAGCAAUUGAGCAUGAUCACGGAAGGAAAAUCUGCGCAGGGAUGUUCAGCACAAACACCUCUGAUCCAGGAACUCUUUGAGGUGCAAAUCCUCAUCCUGCAGAAGCAUUUUGGAGAGCAGCCUCCCCUGUGCUCAUGCUGUCAUUAGGCAAUUCCUGUUGGCUGCUCUGGAGAUAGUCCUGGACUGGACUUGAAACGCUGCUGUUCUGACCCAGCACAGUCAUCCCUACAUUUAACUGUCGUUUCAUUCAACAUGGGGGUUUUUUCCACAAUCUUUAGUAAGUCAUAGACAGCAAUUCUUGCAAUAAAUCUUUGUGACACAAAAAUGCUCUUUCUUUAUGUUCUGUACCUCUCUUGUUGUUUCCUGCCGGUUACUUCGAUUGAGGGAUGGAAGGUUGCUUCGCUGUGUGUUUGUAUAACACCACAUUAUCAAGCUGAGCACUGCUCCGUGCCUGUAUUUCCUAGUUAAUUAUUUGAUAUAAAUAAAUAAUAAUAAUCUGUA